UUGCUCUUCUCCGUCUAUGGCACCAUUGUGGACCCAAGGAAGGGUAUUAUAGCCGGCCUGGGCCCUCUUCUUGUUGGGCUUGUAGUUGGGGCUAACAUCCUAGCUGGCGGGCCUUUCUCGGGUGCAUCCAUGAACCCAGCUAGGUCCUUUGGGCCAGCCUUGGCCAGCUGGGAUUGGACCGACCACUGGAUCUAUUGGGUUGGGCCACUAAUCGGCGGUCCGCUUGCUGGGUUCA
rnacentral:lncRNA from 1 species